AGCGCUACCGGUCGGACUCUCCGGAAGCCUGUCCGGCAGCCCCAGGCCGCCCCCGAGCCCUGGCGUGAAGGCGGCAAGCUGGCCCUCGCCUGUGCCGCUUUCUUCCUGAACAGGGGUGCUGGCGGCGGCGGCAGCGGCAGCAGCAGCGCGGGGAAAGAGCGGCGUCUCCGGAAGCCCCUGCAGAAGGAGGAGGGUCUCCGGCCAGGGCCGACCUCCGGUAGUAACGGCCACUGCUUUUUCUUUCCCUCUCCCAGGCCGCGCUGAGGACGUGGUUGCCCGUCCCUCCCUUGGGGAUGCCGUCGACUGCACCCGCCUCGCCUGUGCCUGGCCUGGCUCGCCUCGUGGCGUGGGGGCGAAAAGGGACAGGCGGCGGAGCGCUUACCGGCCGUGGACAGCAGCUGCCCUAAGGGAAGCUGGAAUGGCCAGAGAAAGGUGAAGAAGAAGAAGAAGAAGAAGAGAUGGAAGGCUCUCCGGCCGGCAGCUGCCUCCCGCUGCAGGCAAGAGAGCGCCUGCCUCGCCGGGCGGAGGACAGCCGAGCGACCGGAGCGACAGCAAAGGAAAGGCGGAGAGCGGGAGAAAGAAGCGUCUGCGCUGGCAAGCUCUCCCGGCAGCGCCGAGAGCCAGAGCUGCGGUGCUGCUGCGCCGAUGCUCCGUACGUUCGCAGUAACGGGUAGAGCGGAAGGCUCCGUGGCCAGGGAAGAGCGGCACGGACACGUUCCUGCUCGCUCCGUUGCACCGGAAUUUCGACGGCUGGGUUCGGCCGCUAAAUUGAUGGCGCUACCGGAAGAAAUUUC